rnacentral:miRNA from 1 species
UAGGGGCAGCGGUGGCACCGACG